AUUAUGUUCAGAAGAUGAAACCUUCUCCAAGCUCGGCUUUAAAAAGCUGUUCUGUGCCAAACUUCAAGAUGUCAUCCAACUCUUGUUUGGACAUGGAUCCAGCCUUGGAGCCCAGACCAGGCCGCACCACCAGAUGCUUUAGUGACAAAUCGAUAGAUCAUCACCUUCUUAUUCUGACCAAUACGAUGAGCCCUGCUAAAUGCCUGAGAGAGACAACAGGAGAGAGACGGCAUCAGAAAGAGUCUCUCACAGAGAUGCAGGUGUUUGACAGAUUUAGCAUCAGGUAUUUUAUGUCGCCUCUACCUGGAUGUCGUUGUGUGGAUUCCAGUCAGAGUCGUAGAUGAUGACAGUGUCAGCGGUUGCCAAAUUGAUGCCCAAACCCCCUGCUCGGGUGGACAAGAGGAAAACAAACUGAGGAGCACCAGGAGCUGCAGUGAGAGAAAAGAGAAGGAUUUUGUCAAAGCAAAACAUCAUGUUGCUGUUAUUUCAUGGAAAUGGGUGGCUUUUCCCCUCUCACCGUUGAAUCUAUCGAUGGCUUCCUGCCUCAUCCCUCCAGUCACCCCUCCAUCUAUCCGUUCAUACUUGUACCCGUCAUUCUCCAGAAAGUCUUCCAGCAAAUCCAACAUCUUUGUCAUCUACAUCCAUGCACAAAGAUUUUUAAGUAUACAGUGGUAUUAAGUGGAGUAAAUCGGUGUGCGCUAUUUGUCUGUACCUGUGAGAAUAUAAGCACUCUAUGUCCACCCUCCUUUAGUUUUUUCAGCAUCUUACACAGAAGCAUCAGUUUCCCAGAAGCCUUUGUGAGGGCACUGCCAUCAUACAUGCCAUUGGGCAUUUUAGGAGCUUCCUGCAAAAUCAGACCCACAAUGAUCAGCUGAAAGUGCUGCUGUUAUUCAUUGAAAACCUCUGUCAAAGGGUUCUGUCUUAGUUGAGAGAGAAUGCUCACAUUAGCAGCUGUCGGGAAGAGGUAGGGGUGGUUACAGCACUUCUUUAGGUCCAUAACCACAUUGAGCAGAGACACCUGGUUUCCUCCUCCACGAGUGUUCAGAGCUUCAAAGUUGCGUGUUAAGAUGUACUUGUAGUACUUCCUGUUCCAGAAAAACAAAGAUUGAAUCAGAGGCUACGGUCAUAUAAAAGUCAUAAAUGGCCCAUACAA